rnacentral:rRNA from 1 species
UGGGGAAUUUUGGACAAUGGGCGAAAGCCUGAUCCAGCAAUGCCGCGUGUGUGAAGAAGGCCUUCGGGUUGUAAAGCACUUUUGUCCGGAAAGAAAUCCUUGGCUCUAAUACAGUCGGGGGAUGACGGUACCGGAAGAAUAAGCACCGGCUAACUACGUGCCAGCAGCCGCGGUAAUACGUAGGGUGCAAGCGUUAAUCGGAAUUACUGGGCGUAAAGCGUGCGCAGGCGGUUUGCUAAGACCGAUGUGAAAUCCCCGGGCUCAACCUGGGAACUGCAUUGGUGACUGGCAGGCUAGAGUAUGGCAGAGGGGGGUAGAAUUCCACGUGUAGCAGUGAAAUGCGUAGAGAUGUGGAGGAAUACCGAUGGCGAAGGCAGCCCCCUGGGCCAAUACUGACGCUCAUGCACGAAAGCGUGGGGAGCAAACAGGAUUAGAUACCCUGGUAGUCCACGCCCUAAACGAUGUCAACUAGUUGUUGGGGGAUUCAUUUCCUUAGUAACGUAGCUAACGCGUGAAGUUGACCGCCUGGGGGAGUACGGUCGCAAGAUUAAAACUCAAAUGAAUUGACGGGGUCAUAGCUGUUU